CGCCGCCGCCGCUACGCACCCUGCCCCCGGGGGGCGGGCUGGAGGGAGGGGGCGGGCGCCGGGAGCCGGCCGGGGGUCCGCCGCAGCCAUGGCGCUGCGCGGAGGGGGCCGGCGACCCGCUUCACCUGCCGCAGAGGGGGCGGCGGGCGCCGUUUCACCUGCGGGAGCGGGAGGCGGCCGAGGCGAGGCAGAGGCGGCGGCGCGCGCGGCGGCGCCUCCGGGUCCUAGAACCGCAUGCUCCCGCUCUUCCGAGCCGGGGAUCGGCGGGGUCUGGGUGAGGGGGGUCACGGCCUGGGAGUCGGAGGGGGCAAACCUCCGGGAGUCGGAGGGGGCAAACCUCCUUGCCGAGGAUGCCAGCAACUGCGUGCUCGGCUUGGAGACCCAUGACGGUGCGGCGUUGGGGCGCAAGGGCUGGGUCCCCCUCUCGGAUUCUGGACUGAGAAGGUGGGAACCCCCUUCCAGGCCCCCUACCCCUUGUUUCUCCCCUCAUCUGUUUGGUCCAGAGAGGAGCUGAGGAUCAGAGGGAACCAUCUGCAAACGAGAGCCCCAAAGCAUGGCGAGGAGCGCAGAUCCAGGCCAACCGAGACCCCCGGACCUGUCCCACCCUGGACCAACUCUGCGCCCAUACCGACAUCCCCAGGGUUUUAUAACGAGGGCGCCUAUGGGAAAAGGCAAGGUACGGGAAUCUGGGGACCACCAAGGCGGUCUCAAGGAGAAGCGCAGGGGUUGGGGAACAGAGGAUUAAAGCCAGUAUCCAGGCUGAGAAAGGAGCAGGCUCCGCAGAGGAGAAAAAAAAUAUCUCCUUGACGCUGUCCCCUCCAGGGACGUAGGGUGGCCUCUCACCUUGGUGAAUAACAAUCCCUGAAGUCUAGCAAUUACAGAAAUGCUUCCAGAGGUCUUCUUUCAUUCAUCCCUACAGUGACUGGGGAAGGUAGGUAUUGACAUCUUCAUUUAGAGAUGGGAAAACAGACUCAGGGUGGUUAGUUGACUUGCCCAAGGGCACACAACUAAUAAAGGUCACAAACAGCCCUACUCUCUGCCCACCUUCAAAAUCCACACUGCCUUGGAGCUGCUGCCCUAGCCCCCACUGCCCCUCUCAUCCAGGGUGGGCCAGAAAGGUGAGUGAGUAUUGGGAGGACUAUAGAACCCCAGCUCUGAGACACAAUCUCCAACCUGUAUUUGAGGCCCUUCUCCCUCAGUUGCUCUUAUUGUUCCCCAUCGAAUCUGUGGAGAUCCCGAGCUGCCCCUCCCUUCACUUCCAAAACAUUGAGGAUGGAGGGCCCACUACAUGAGGCCUGGAUUUUCUCUAGGCCAGGCCAGAGGCCAUAAGUGUCCCUUCCCCUUAUAGCUUCCUCUUCCUUCUACCUUCCCUUUCACAUGCAGAACCACUGACAAAUUUCAGCAGGAGCUGGGAAAUUUACCUAAUUUUAAGGAAGGCCCUGGGAUGAGACAGCCCCUUCCCCCAGACUGACCUGAUUUAAGUGCUUCUUCUGCCAAGGUCACCAGCACGUCUGGUGGGUGAGAGAUGUGGUUACUUAUUUCAUGUCCCAGCCAGGGAC
rnacentral:lncRNA from 1 species